rnacentral:rRNA from 1 species
ACCAGACUCCUACGGGAGGCAGCAGUGGGGGAUAUUGCACAAUGGGGGGAACCCUGAUGCAGCGACGCCGCGUGGGUGAAGAAGCGCCUCGGCGCGUAAAGCCCUGUCAGCAGGGAAGAAAAUGACGGUACCUGAAGAAGAAGCCCCGGCUAACUACGUGCCAGCAGCCGCGGUAAUACGUAGGGGGCAAGCGUUAUCCGGAUUUACUGGGUGUAAAGGGGGCGCAGACGGCGAUGCAAGCCAGGAGUGAAAGCCCGGGGCCCAACCCCGGGACUGCUCUUGGAACUGCGUGGCUGGAGUGCAGGAGGGGCAGGCGGAAUUCCUGGUGUAGCGGUGAAAUGCGUAGAUAUUAGGAGGAACACCAGUGGCGAAGGCGGCCUGCUGGACUGCAACUGACGUUGAGGCUCGAAGGCGUGGGGAGCAAACAGGAUUAGAUACCCGAGUAC